AAUCAACGCUGGCGGCGUGCCUCAGACAUGCAAGUCGAACGAUUAAAGCUCCCUUCGGGGAGUGCAUAAAGUGGCGCACGGGUGAGUAACACGUAAGUAAUCUACCCUCGAGUGGGGAAUAACGUCCGGAAACGGACGCUAAUACCGCAUAAUGCAGCGGCACCGCAAGGUGACAGUUGUUAAAGAUUUAUCGCUUGAGGAGGAGCUUGCGGCAGAUUAGCUAGUUGGUAAGGUAAUGGCUUACCAAGGCCGCGAUCUGUAACCGGUCUAGGAGGACGUUCGGUCACACGGACUCUGAAUAACGGGUCAGACUCCUUCGGGAGGCAGCAGUCGGGAAUCUUGGGCAAUGGGCGAAAGCCUGACCCAGCAACGCCGCGUGAAGGAUGAAGUAUUUCGGUAUGUAAACUACGAAAGAAUGGGAAGAAUAAAUGACGGUACCAUUUAUAAGCUCCGGCUAACUACGUGCCAGCCGCCGCAGUAAAAC
rnacentral:rRNA from 1 species